CAGCCGCCACGGUAAUACAGAGGGUGCGAGCGUUAAUCGGAUUUACUGGGCGUAAAGCGUGCGUAGGCGGCUUCUUAAGUCGGAUGUGAAAUCCCUGAGCUUAACUUAGGAAUUGCAUUCGAUACUGGGAAGCUAGAGUAUGGGAGAGGAUGGUAGAAUUCCAGGUGUAGCGGUGAAAUGCGUAGAGAUCUGGAGGAAUACCGAUGGCGAAGGCAGCCAUCUGGCCUAAUACUGACGCUGAGGUACGAAAGCAUGGGGAGCAAACAGGAUUAGAUACCCCCGUAGUCCCUGUCUCUUAUAA
rnacentral:rRNA from 1 species